rnacentral:tRNA from 1 species
CAGGGGUUAGUUUAAUUAAAAUAUUAAAUUUGGGUUUUAAAGAAGGAAGUUAUUCUUCCCCUGA